CUGCAGCCAAUUAAGCCGACAGAGUUCCUUUCCUCAUGGGGGCCCAGUGUGCAAUAGCUGCAAACAGCAGCUUCCCUGGUAGUGAUGCAGCCUGUUUGUUGUAUGGGUUGCUCUAAGGGACCUUGGAGACAGUC
rnacentral:snoRNA from 1 species